GGCCCCAUGGUCGAGUGGUUAAGACGCGGGCCUUUCAAGCCCGAGGUAGGGGUUCGAUUCCCCUUGGGGCCA
rnacentral:tRNA from 4 species